rnacentral:rRNA from 1 species
GAUGAACGCUGGCGGCGUGCCUAAUACAUGCAAGUCGAGCGAACGGACGAGAAGCUUGCUUCUCUGAUGUUAGCGGCGGACGGGUGAGUAACACGUGGAUAACCUACCUAUAAGACUGGGAUAACUUCGGGAAACCGGAGCUAAUACCGGAUAAUAUUUUGAACCGCAUGGUUCAAAAGUGAAAGACGGUCUUGCUGUCACUUAUAGAUGGAUCCGCGCUGCAUUAGCUAGUUGGUAAGGUAACGGCUUACCAAGGCAACGAUGCAUAGCCGACCUGAGAGGGUGAUCGGCCACACUGGGACUGAGACACGGUCCAGACUCCUACGGGAGGCAGCAGUAGGGAAUCUUCCGCAAUGGGCGAAAGCCUGACGGAGCAACGCCGCGUGAGUGAUGAAGGUCUUCGGAUCGUAAAACUCUGUUAUUAGGGAAGAACAUAUGUGUAAGUAACUGUGCACAUCUUGACGGUACCUAAUCAGAAAGCCACGGCUAACUACGUGCCAGCAGCCGCGGUAAUACGUAGGUGGCAAGCGUUAUCCGGAAUUAUUGGGCGUAAAGCGCGCGUAGGCGGUUUUUUAAGUCUGAUGUGAAAGCCCACGGCUCAACCGUGGAGGGUCAUUGGAAACUGGAAAACUUGAGUGCAGAAGAGGAAAGUGGAAUUCCAUGUGUAGCGGUGAAAUGCGCAGAGAUAUGGAGGAACACCAGUGGCGAAGGCGACUUUCAGGUCUGUAACUGACGCUGAUGUGCGAAAGCGUGGGGAUCAAACAGGAUUAGAUACCCUGGUAGUCCACGCCGUAAACGAUGAGUGCUAAGUGUUAGGGGGUUUCCGCCCCUUAGUGCUGCAGCUAACGCAUUAAGCACUCCGCCUGGGGAGUACGACCGCAAGGUUGAAACUCAAAGGAAUUGACGGGGACCCGCACAAGCGGUGGAGCAUGUGGUUUAAUUCGAAGCAACGCGAAGAACCUUACCAAAUCUUGACAUCCUUUGACAACUCUAGAGAUAGAGCCUUCCCCUUCGGGGGACAAAGUGACAGGUGGUGCAUGGUUGUCGUCAGCUCGUGUCGUGAGAUGUUGGGUUAAGUCCCGCAACGAGCGCAACCCUUAAGCUUAGUUGCCAUCAUUAAGUUGGGCACUCUAAGUUGACUGCCGGUGACAAACCGGAGGAAGGUGGGGAUGACGUCAAAUCAUCAUGCCCCUUAUGAUUUGGGCUACACACGUGCUACAAUGGACAAUACAAAGGGCAGCGAAACCGCGAGGCCAAGCAAAUCCCAUAAAGUUGUUCUCAGUUCGGAUUGUAGUCUGCAACUCGACUACAUGAAGCUGGAAUCGCUAGUAAUCGUAGAUCAGCAUGCUACGGUGAAUACGUUCCCGGGUCU